rnacentral:rRNA from 1 species
AAUGAACGCUAGCGGCAGGCCUAAUACACGCAAGUCGAACGGUGUCUUCGGACAUAGUGGCGCACGGGUGCGUAACACGUAUGCAACCUACCUUACAUUGGGGGAUAGCCUUUUGAAAGGGAGAUUAAUACCGCAUAAGACAGUAGCUGGGCAUCCAGCAGCUGUUAAAGAUUUAUCGAUGUAAGCUGGGCAUGCGUCCAAUUAGCUAGUUGGUGAGGUAACGGCUCACCAAGGCAAUGAUUGGUAGGGGAACUGAGAGGUCAAUCCCCCACACUGGCACUGAGAUACGGGCCAGACUCCUACGGGAGGCAGCAGUAGGGAAUAUUGGGCAAUGGACGCAAGUCUGACCCAGCCAUGCCGCGUGCAGGAUGAAGGCGUUAUGCGUUGUAAACUGCUUUUAUACAGGAAGAAACGACUCUUGCGAGAGGCAUUGACGGUACUGUAUGAAUAAGCACCGGCUAACUCCGUGCCAGCAGCCGCCGUAACAC